AACGAACGCUGGCGGCAUGCCUAACACAUGCAAGUCGAACGAAACCUUCGGGUCUAGUGGCGCACGGGGGCGUAACGCGUGGGAACCUGCCCUUAGGUUCGGAAUAACUCCCCGAGAGGGGUGCUAAUACCGGAUGAUGUCUUCGGACCAAAGAUUUAUCGCCGUUGGAUGGGCCCGCGUUGGAUUAGCUAGUUGGUAGGGUAAAAGCCUACCAAGGCGACGAUGCAUAGCUGGUCUGAGAGGAUGAUCAGCCACACUGGGACUGAGACACGGCCCAGACUCCUACGGGAGGCAGCAGUGGGGAAUAGUGGACAAUGGGCGAAAGCCUGAUCCAGCAAUGCCGCGUGAGUGAUGAAGGCCUUAGGGUUGUAAAGCUCUUUUACCCGGGAUGAUAAUGACAGUACCGGGAGAAUAAGCUCCGGCUAACUCCGUG
rnacentral:rRNA from 1 species